rnacentral:misc_RNA from 1 species
UCCGGCUUAUCACCGGCAGUCCCCCAUGAGUCCCCGGCAUUACCCGCUGGUAACAUGGGGCGAGGGUUGCGCUCGUUGCGGGACUUAACCCAACAUCUCACGACACGAGCUGACGACAGCCAUGCAGCACCUCGACUCCACCCCCUUGCGGGGUAGCGCUGUUUCCAACGCCGUUGAGAAGCCGUUCGAGCCCAGGUAAGGUUCUUCGCGUUGCGUCGAAUUGAACCACAUGCUCCACCGCUUGUGCGGGCCCCCGUCAAUUCCUUUGAGUUUCAGCCUUGCGACUGUACUCCCCAGGCGGCAUAUUUAACGCGUUAGCUCCGGCACGGACAGAAUGAACUGCCCACACCAAAUAUGCAUCGUUUAGGGCGUGGACUAC